GUGUGUGUGCUUCACAACAGACAAAUACUAUGCAGCACAGAACAACACAGGAUGGCAACACCUAACACGAAAGAGGAGUAAUGCCAACUGUCCAUGGAAAACCACAGAUGGUGGAAAUACUCCACCUGGCACCUCCACUUCAAUGAAAGUGCUGGGCAUCCCUAAGCUACAAUAUCAGCUGGUGAGCAGCUAUUCAGAUUGAACUUCCCAACAGUGAAAGUAGAAUCAACCGUCGGUUAUGUUGGACCUGAUGUUGGUCCUAAAUUCUGGCCCAUACCCAGAUGAGGUGCUAAAGAUCCCCAUCCCUGAGGAUCUCGUAGCCCAGUUUGCAAGACCAGGGAAGCAAGAGGUUGUAACCAGCUACGUGUCAAGGACCGGUCUGACCCCGCGUAGCUUCCUUGACUAUCUGGGUUGUCUCUGUCACACCACACUGAGCUAAGCAGUACCACCCUGAUUCUCCGGCCGAGAAAUCCCCAACACCAGCUUACAGAGCUCCUGUAGGCCUAGUAUCUGUAGCAGCUAAAACAAAGUGUACAUAAUGGUUAGUCUAAACUACACAGUGACAUUCUUUUAUAACAUGUCCAUCUUUUCUACUGAAAUUCUGUGAAACCUAAAUGCCGACCAAAACUUCAGACUGCUGUUCUAGGUAGUAUAUUAAAUAAGUUUGUUUUCAAAAGUUGUGAUGUUUGAAGGAAUCAUGACAAUAAAGGUAAACUCUUUGCUUUGUAAACUCUUGCUUUCAGUGUUUAAUAUGUAACAUGAUAACAAGUAACAAACAUGACAGACUAACAGUAAGCAAUGUAAGAUAGAGGGAACAGAAUUUUAUUGUACUUUAAUCCUUACUCAUUUACAGUUGUCCUU